UCUGCAUGCUCCCUUUAAGUGAUGUACCUGGUGAUUUGCUGGGGUGGGGAGGGACAGGUAUGCUCCACCUGGCAGUGAGGAAGGAUGCAAUAAUAGUGGUGAGGCAAGCAUUCUAGCUAAGGGAACUACUCUAGGCAUUGCUACUUUCGCUAUUAAAAUAUUUUAUAUUUAUUAUUUUCAUGAUAAGGCUGAAGUUUUAUGAAGACAAGAACUACGUCCUUUUCCUUUGCAGUCCUCUGCUGUGCACAAUCCCAAGAAAAACCAAAGCAAGAUAAAAAUGUAAAAAAGGCUUCAAGAUCAAACCAUAAUCUGCUUCUCAGAACAUUUGGCUAACACAAGACUGGAGAGACGUUCAAGAGGGAGAGAGUUGGAGUGUGUUUGGCAAAGGAGCUGCUUUACGAAGAGCUGGGCAGUGUGUUUCUGCAGCAGCCUUCCUGGAUUUGGGACUGAAGAAUGGUGCGUGCAUAAGGCCUGAUGAUGUUUAUUGAAAAUAGCUGUCAUGAAAUUUUGACAAAAUGCAGAGACUGACACAGACAUCUGUGGAAUGACCAGAAUCUUGCUCACAAGGAAGAACUAAAGGGAAAAUAAACAUCACUUUCAUUUUGUCUGCCUU
rnacentral:lncRNA from 1 species